rnacentral:rRNA from 1 species
GACGAACGCUGGCGGCGUGCUUAACACAUGCAAGUCGAACGGAAAGGCCCUGCUUUUGUGGGGUGCUCGAGUGGCGAACGGGUGAGUAACACGUGAGUAACCUGCCCUUGACUUUGGGAUAACUUCAGGAAACUGGGGCUAAUACCGGAUAGGAGCUCCUGCUGCAUGGUGGGGGUUGGAAAGUUUCGGCGGUUGGGGAUGGACUCGCGGCUUAUCAGCUUGUUGGUGGGGUAGUGGCUUACCAAGGCUUUGACGGGUAGCCGGCCUGAGAGGGUGACCGGCCAAAUUGGGAAUGAGGUACGGCCCAGACUCCUACGGGAGGCAGCAGGGGGGAAUAUUGCACAAUGGGCGGAAGCCUGAGGCAGCAACGCCGCGGGCGGGAUGACGGCCUUUGGGGUGUAAACCGCUUUCGCCUGGGACGAAGCGGUAGUGACGGUAAUGGGUAAAGAAGCACCGGCUAACUACGUG